rnacentral:rRNA from 1 species
UCGGGAAUUUUGGGCAAUGGGGGAAACCCUGACCCAGCAACGCCGCGUGAAGGAUGAAGUAUUUCGGUAUGUAAACUUCGAAAGAAUAGGAAGAAUAAAUGACGGUACUAUUUAUAAGGUCCGGCUAACUACGUGCCAGCAGCCGCGGUAAUACGUAGGGACCAAGCGUUGUUCGGAUUUACUGGGCGUAAAGGGCGCGUAGGCGGCAAUUCAAGUCAGAUGUGAAAUCCCCGGGCUCAACUCCGGAACUGCGUCUGAAACUAUUUAGCUAGAGACUCGGCGAGGUAAGCGGAAUUCCAAGUGUAGCAGUGAAAUGCGUAGAUAUUUGGAGGAACACCGAAGGCGAAGGCAGCUUACUGGAAGAGAUCUGACGCUGAGGUGCGAAAGCGUGGGGAGCAAACAGGAUUAGAUACCCUCGUAGUCCCUGAGCGGGCUGGCAAGGCGCAU